rnacentral:rRNA from 1 species
UGGGGAAUCUUGCGCAAUGGGCGAAAGCCUGACGCAGCAACGCCGCGUGCGGGAUGAAGGCCUUCGGGUUGUAAACCGCUUUCAGUGGGGACGAAUUCAGACGGUACCCACAGAAGAAGCCCCGGCCAACUACGUGCCAGCAGCCGCGGUAACACGUAGGGGGCGAGCGUUGUCCGGAAUCAUUGGGCGUAAAGAGCUCGUAGGCGGCUCAGUAAGUCGGGUGUGAAACCCCCAGGCUCAACCUGGGGACGCCACCCGAUACUGCUGUGGCUAGAGUCCAGUAGGGGAGUGUGGAAUUCCCGGUGUAGCGGUGAAAUGCGCAGAUAUCGGGAGGAACACCAGCGGCGAAGGCGGCACUCUGGGCUGGAACUGACGCUGAGGAGCGAAAGCGUGGGUAGCAAACAGG